AGUGAACGCUGGCGGUAGGCCUAACACAUGCAAGUCGAACGGCAGCACAGUAAGAGCUUGCUCUUACGGGUGGCGAGUGGCGGACGGGUGAGGAAUACAUCGGAAUCUACUUUUUCGUGGGGGAUAACGUAGGGAAACUUACGCUAAUACCGCAUACGACCUACGGGUGAAAGCAGGGGAUCUUCGGACCUUGCGCGAUUGAAUGGGCCGAUGUCGGAUUAGCUAGUUGGCGGGGUAAAGGCCCACCAAGGCGACGAUCCGUAGCUGGUCUGAGAGGAUGAUCAGCCACACUGGAACUGAGACACGGUCCAGACUCCUACGGGAGGCAGCAGUGGGGAAUAUUGGACAGUGGGCGCAAGCCUGAUCCAGCCAUACCGCGUGGGUGAAGAAGGCCUUCGGGUUGUAAAGCCCUUUUGUUGGGAAAGAAAAGCAGCAGGUUAAUACCCCGCUGUUCUGACGGUACCCAAAGAAUAAGCACCGGCUAACUUCGU
rnacentral:rRNA from 1 species